UCCGCCUCCUCGACCCCGCCUCCCCAAGUUUAAAUCAUGAAUUGAUGCGAAUAAUGAAUUCACACUUUAACUUGAACGUGUAAAUGCACUGUACACCACCACUGCUAUUUUACAAAAUAAUAUUUUAAAGAUACACUUACAGAGCUUAACCAUGUUGUCUGAAGCAAGAAUAUAAAUAUUUGGGUGUCACUGACAUGCAUUCCUAGCUAGCUACGUUAGCAUUGUAACUUCAGUACAAACCCAAGAACCAAACUUAUCCACGGCACUUACCUGUAUUUCCUUUAACUGUCCUGUAGCUGUUGCUAUUUUGCAAUGUUCCAGACGAUCUCUUUUUCUCUUUUUCUCUGAAUUUAUACCAACACAGCUGUAACAUUUAUUAUAAAAUCCCCACAGUGAUGGAAACCUUAAAGCCCCUCUUCAGGCUUGAGCCAAGAUAAUAAUGUUAAAAUAUAUAUUUUUAGACUUUCACAAUGGUUCUACUUUUAGUAAAAUGUUGGCCAGAACAGAACAGAACAGAAGGGUUAAUGAGUCAUAGUCGAGCAGGAGGCCGUCGUGUUUAGGGGAUGUAGGGACGUGUGUGUGUGUGUGUGUGUCUCGAGAGUGUGUGAGGUUUUGGAGAACUGUGUGCGGACAGAUUUAUAUGUGUUUCGUUUGGAAUGGUGCAGAAAUACGUCAGGACAGCGGGGGGAUUUCUGGAAGUCGUCUCCUCUUUCCCCGAGGUCAGCACUUUGUCCUGCUGAGGACAUUACGAGGAACUGUGAGGCCACAAGUGGAACGUCCACAAUGUCCUGUUCACUCUAAAUGCAGUCCAUUGUUUAAGACAAGGAUCCAGAACUCAGCAGCGCUGUGGGACAAUAUCAAAUAGUUCACCUUAAACAAUCCAGCAGUAAACUAAGGCAAGGUGAGUUAACCGGAAUUCCACAACCAUAUUAUCUCGUACUCCGACAAAUUCCCGCCUUCUGUACAAUAAUCCUUCCCGCCUCUUGUGCUAGGAUUGACUAUUUUUACUCCAAACAACCUGCAGAUCAGAUAAUCGGUUGUGAAAUUAGACAAAACCAGAAAAAUAAAAUAUAUAAAUAAAUAUCUGUUUAAUGAAACUGAUCAAAAUAUAAACACAAGAGAUAUAACACAAUCAAGUGUCACCAUAGCUCUGGUUGCUAUGGUGACACGAAGGGCUUCUCGAAUGUCUCACUUAAUCUAAUUUUAACACAGACUUAAUAUCCAACACUACUUAUCUGUGAUUUGAUGUUUGU